rnacentral:rRNA from 1 species
UACAGAGGGUGCGAGCGUUGUUCGGAAUUAUUGGGCGUAAAGGGUGCGUAGGCGGCGCGGUAAGUCGGGUGUGAAAUCUCGGAGCUUAACUCCGAAACUGCAUUCGAUACUGCCGUGCUUGAGGACUGGAGAGGAGACUGGAAUUUACGGUGUAGCGGUGAAAUGCGUAGAUAUCGUAAGGAAGACCAGUGGCGAAGGCGGGCCUCUGGACAGUUCCUGACGCUGGGGCACGAAGGUCAGGGGAGCAAACGGG